rnacentral:lncRNA from 13 species
AUAAGAGGGAGAAAAUGAGGAAAAUACUAUGAGCCACAAAUUAAACCCAUGCAUGCUUCCCAAAUUGCAUCCUAUUUCCUUUAUAGCACAUAACUUUUGACCAGGGCCCAUAGGAAAUUUGGGACACAACCCAUGAAAACCAAAAUAGAAAACAUUCAUGAUAAAAGCAGCAUUGCGCUGGGGUGAGCUCUAACUUGUUUUUGGAAAGCUUCCUCUCUCUUGGUAUCUAUUUCACUCUAUCCAUCUCCCUCUCUCCCACAGUCUCUCACCAUUACUUAACUUAAAGAGAAAGACAGCCCAGGUCACAUUGCCGAGUUUGUCGCCUGCCUAGCUAGCUACAUGACAUGAUGAGCAUAGUGCACGCACACGCACGCACACACAUGCACGCACACGCACGGUCUGGGGUCGAAGCACUCAGGAAAACACAAACAAGAUACCUGUCUAUCUAUCUCCCUCUUUCAUUUGCUCACUACUUACUUCAUUCCCUACCACCCUCUUUCUCUAUUGCCGCCUCUCCCUGUUCUCCUUCUCUAUCGCUGCCUCUCCCUCUUCUCCUCCUCCUUCUCUCAUUCUGUGCUUGAAGGCAGCACAACUUCCAAGCAGCACAGCACACAUUUUUUGACCAACGCCAAGAUGUUUUUUUCCAUGUACUGUAUCCACAUUUUAGCCCUUCUUCCCCCCACUGCUUUUGUUUUUGACACAAUCCUUGGCAUCGGCAGACAGAGAAUAAAAAAUACUUUGUGAGCUAAACAAGUCUAAAUCGGCAUGUGUUUGUGACAACUUUGUCAAACAACACCAAACCCAACCAAAUACUAACAGUGUGAAGCUUGCCCUUUAGCCAACCUAGCCCGGAGUGUGGACCUCUGACAAACUAAACUCAAUAAUAACUCAAAGGGAAACAGGCCGUGAAGUUAUCACUACUCUGUGGUGUGGCAGACCUGGGGUUCAAAUAGAAUUGAUACUUUUAAAAUAUUUGAACUAGCACUUGAUUGAGCUUGCCUGGCUCCAAUGGAACCAUUGGGAUAGUCCCAAAAGUGCACACCCCGUCCAUGUGGCAUGCACUCUAAACAGGCUCAAUCAAACGCUUCAAAGUAUAUUCAGCUGAAAUAUUAAGGAGAAUCUCCCAUCAGCAUGGGCUGCAAUUAGGAGAGAUGUUGACAUUGUUUGUAUCCCUCAAUCUUACCUGCAAAAGACAAACAACACUUCUAAUCGCUGAUACCCAACAGUUUUUGGUUAUCACUUGUGACAUCCACUAUCCACAGCAACAUCAUCUCCCACAGUAUGCCUAGCACUAAGAGGAGUUAUUUCUGACCAUGUGAACUGAGCCUGUUACUCUGGGCCCAGGUUACUCAGGCUCCCAGCUUGAUUAGAAGUAAGGCCUAGUUGUAGGAUAUAACCAGGGUCUAGACCCUAGAGUUUAUCCUGGUUAGGUCAUGUGGUCAGAAAAACUCCUGGUCCAUAGGGUAUUAAAAUGCCUGAAAAAUCAAUCCAACGUUUGGGGUAGGCCUACAUCAGCUCGGACGUGUCCUCUCUGCCAGGGAAGAGAGU